CCUACGGGGGGCAGCAGUGGGGAAUAUUGGGCAAUGGGCGCAAGCCUGACCCAGCAACGCCGCGUGAAGGAAGAAGGCUUUCGGGUUGUAAACUUCUUUUGUCAGGGACGAAGCAAGUGACGGUACCUGAAGAAUAAGCUCCGGCUAACUACGUGCCAGCAGCCGCGGUAAUACGUAGGGAGCAAGCGUUAUCCGGAUUUACUGGGUGUAAAGGGCGUGUAGGCGGGCCUGCAAGUCAGAAGUGAAAUCGGGGGGCUUAACCCCUAAACUGCUUUUGAAACUGGGGGUCUUGAGUGAUGGAGAGG
rnacentral:rRNA from 1 species